GUAGUUACGGCAGUACAUGUACUAAAAUUUGAACGAUACAGAGAAAAUUAGCAUGACCCCCGCGCAAGGAUGACACGCAAAUUUGUGAAGCGUUCCAUAUUUUU
rfam:Octopus bimaculoides Scaffold212357_contig_46, whole genome shotgun sequence.